rnacentral:rRNA from 1 species
UACGGAGGGUGCAAGCGUUAUCCGGAUUCACUGGGUUUAAAGGGCGCGUAGGCGGCCACGCACGUCCGUUGUGAAAUCGCCCGGCUCAACUGGGCGGGGUCAGCGGAUACGGUGUGGCUCGAGCAAGCUAGGGGGCAAUGGAAUUCCCGGUGUAGUGGUGGAAUGCGUAGAUAUCGGGAGGAACACCAGUGGCGAAGGCGGUUGCCUGGAGCUUUGCUGACGCUGAGGCGCGAAAGCGUGGGGAGCGAUCCGG